GGGGAGCGGAAAACUGCUACCACUGCUUCUGGAACUAGGGGAAGGCGUCGGAAGAGGUAAGUGCCUGGCGCCCCUCUACUUUUGCGCCCUAGGCACGUGCCUCUUCUGCCUACCCCUAGUUCCGGCCCUGGAGAAUGGCAAUGCUAUACAUGUGCAACAGUUACUACUCUAUAUAUUUAUAGAAACGCUGUUGUUAGGUUUGUGUAGAAACCAAAAUGUGGGUACAAGUAAUUUGUGUAAUAUGUUUUCUUCCCCUGUGGACGCCCAUGAGGAGAGCACAAUCACUGACGGUGAAUAAAAAUCAAUAAUGAGUCAGUGUGCGACUACAUGGAAGCAGGGAAGGCAGGGAUGGGGAUGCAGCAGCAUAAACAUUGGCCAGAUAGAAGCACGACCCAGCAGCCAAUCAUUAAGCUUUGUCCCUCCCAGUGCAAGCCAGGCUUAACCAAUAGAAGCACAGACCCUGUCAUCCCACCGGAUGUCUCGCCUCCGGGCUGCUCUUUUUUUGCUAUCGGCUUGUUCCUCCUGCUGAGAGUCCCAGGUGCGAACUAAACGGAGAUGGCGGCUUCUAGGAUGAUGGCGAUGCCCCUGCUGGUGCCGCUGUCCCUGUGCGUAUGGAGGGGGCAGGCUCAGACUGACAGUACAUCCCCGGACGAGAGCAGCAGAGCCUACACGGUGCUACUCAAACAGAACCUGGUUCUGCUGGGCAGCAUCCUCUGCAUCCUGUUCAUUGCUAUGAUCCUACUGGCUGUGUGUGUGUACAAACCUGUCCGACGGCGAUAAUGAGAGUGACACCCAGGCCUGGACUAGAUUGCUCUGGCAUCAGGAUACCCCUCGUUGUGCAGAUACGGGGCAUGUCUCCUGUCUCUAGGAAUAACAUGGCUUCAACCGCCAUUCAACUUGCUGCUAAUAUCUCUCCCAUAAUCCUCCCUCGGUUUCUUCUUUCCUUGGAGAUAUAUUGCCUGCGUAAUAGUUGGUUUUGUAUAAAGGCUUUAACUUGUAUAUUUAUUUUCAUAGCUACUUAGGGAACAGUCUAAGCAGUAACCAACCCUGCAUUCAGUAGGUGCACCCAGCUAUUCUUAUACCCUGAUCGUACUGCUAUACACCCUUGACUUGUCUGUGCCAGUCCAGACUGUAGGGUGCAGCAGUCAGAGGGGCUCAUUUAUAAAAUCAGGCAAAUUUGCCCAUGAGCAGUAACCCAUAGCAACCAAUCAGUGACUGGCUUUUGCUGCUUGUGUGGCAUAGGCCUCAGAGAAGAUCUUGAACUUUCACACAGGGGCAUAAUAUCUAGAAUAUAAGCUGUAUAAAAGUAUAGUACUCAUACCUCACAGUCUCAAUUCUGCAUUUACUAAAACCUUAAUCCUAGCAUAUGUAUUAUUGCUGUACAAUAGUGUAUCCAUGCACUUAUUUGAGGUCAGUUAUGAUUCAAAUUUUCAGUACAAUGACACAAAGGUUUUUAAUUCUAGUUUAUGGAGUCAACCAGAUGAAUGUAGUUCAGCACUCAGGCCUGUGUCAUAUGAAGCAAGGCUCAGUGUGGAACAUUAUAGGUUUAUUGUGAAUAAAGCCGUUCCUUCCUCAGGGACACUCUGCUGUACACUGAUAUAAUAAGCACUGGAUUCUCUCUGUAUUUACAUUAUAAAGUGUUCUAGGCCAGUUCAUGUGUGUGUAAGCUUUCUGUGCCUCUUAUACUCCCCCAGGCAGAAGCAGCACUUAGGGCCAUCGCCAUGUUAAACUGAUCAAUAGGGAGCAGCUGCUGUAAUGGUAACAACUAACACAAGACACCCAAAAUGACCACCAGUCUGUAAACCAGUUGAUCCUGGACUGACAAGGCAAACAAAUGAACAAUUAUUGACUGAGCUACAUGUGCUUCUGUUUAAAAUGCAUGAGGACCCUUGAAGGAUACUCCUUUAUAUCCAAUAUAAUUUGUCUUAAAGUGGUGGUUCACCUUUAAGUUAACUUUUAGUAUGUUAUAGAAUGGCCAGUUCUAAGCAACUUUUCAACUGGUCAGAAUAGUGAUUUGGUGCAUCCCUAAAAUGAAUAAUAACGGAAUUUUAGUUGCAUGUAUUGCAGGUUUUUUUAUAGUUGAUGCAGAAUGCUGAAACCACCAGUGCUGUAAAGCUGCAGAGCAAAAUCCUAUGCAUUACAGUAAGAUGCCCAAGGUCAUAGUAAAUAAGGUACACUUAAAGUGGUUGUUCACCUUGAAAUAAACUUUUAGUAUGAUAUAGAAGGUGAUAUCUGAGACCAUUUGUAGUUGCUUUUUUAAUUUUUUAUUAUUGUGUUUUAUUUAAGUUAUUUAGAUUUUUAUUCAGCAGCUCUCCAGUUUGCAAUUUUAGCUAUCUGGUUGCUAAGAGUAAAAUCCUAUGCAUUACAUAUAAGAAUUUGCUCAUGCAUUGAUUUCAAUAAGACAAUGCAAUAUGAAUAGGAGAGGCCU